ensembl:lncRNA
AUUGGGUAUAAAUCAGCCUAAAACACUCUUAUUGUGAGCCUGGCUUAAGUUACCUUUUCUGCUUCUUCAAUAGAGGUCACAAACUCCUGCUUCAGAUCACUCAGGUGCUCAAUGAGAUCCUCAUUAACAAAGGUCUUCUCCUUCAGUGUAUCUAGCAGAGAUCCCACUUUCUCCCAGAACUUCUGAAGCUGAACCAGAAUCUGCUGGAUUUGAGAAAGACACUUCUGGACUUUCUACAAGGUGGACGGGACUGGGAAUCACACCUGGACAAACAACAGAUAUUGAGUUAUGAGAGAUCACUGUGAACCUUCAGACCCUUUUAACACAAAGAGCUGUUAAAACAGUUUGAAAAUUAACAAUUCUUUUUCCAGAAAGUAUGAUGCUGAUACUUUUUUUUUUUUUUUUGCAUUUCAUUGCAUUUACAUUUUUUUUACAUAUUGGGUUGUGACUCCAAAAUAACAUAUUAGCUGGCUUAAUUUGUUUAGUAACCAGAUGAUUUAUUUUGUCAUAGUCAUGCUUGAUGUUAAAACAUUUUUCAAAGCUUUUACUUUCAUUGUUUAUUCUAUUGUUAUGCUUGUAUUUUAUCUUUCAUGCGCAAAUUACUGCAUGGUCUGUUUUAUUUGUCACUAAAAUGUAAACAUUUUAAUUGUUAUAGUAAGCGUAUAGCAUAUGUUCAAUGCUUUGAAAUAUGCUGUGCCUGCACUAGGACUCUAAUUGAAUUUAUUGAUUGAUUUCUAACAUAUAACUAAGUAAGCAGCUCCUGUAUAUUAUUGGAUUAUAGUGCCUAUUUAAGUAAGGGAUAAUGUACAUCCAGCCGGUUGUUAUCUCAGAAUAAACCCCGACAGGGUGAUCAGGACCCCAACACGAAGUAAACAAUAAACAAUAUUAUUUAGCUAUUUAAAAAAUAAAUAAAUAAAUUCAUUGACCAGUACUGCACUUAUAGUAUGUAGAUAAGCUUAACAAAAUAGAAUUAACAGAAACUAUAAAUUUAUUCUGAGAUAACAACCGGCUGGAUGUGCAUUAUUUUGCUUAUUACAUGGCUAAAAAGAUUUGUUUUUACCAUAUAUGUUGAAAUUAAUACUGAAGUCUUCCACUGUAAAGUGUUUCAGACACAAGAUCACAUCAGACAGUCAAUGAUAUCGGAGUGACUCGUUAAGCAUAUAAGUAGUACCGGUCAAGAUAACUCGUAGUACCCGGAUGAGCAGUGUGUUAUUCAAUUUAGCAGUUGUUAUCUGGGAAUAACAUAUCGCUAGAUGGUGCGAUUGACCAAUCAGAAUCAAGUUGCAUCACCUUGGAAUGUCACAACUAACCAAUCAAGUGUUCCAGAGAGCUUAUUAUCUAAAGUCGAUCUGUGUCCAAAAUUGCUCUCUCUUUCUAUGUAGUUGAGUGCACUAUAUCAUGAAUAAAUGACAUGAAAUGAACGAAUUCAGAGGAAAAUCUAGAAGAAAAUCUUUAGUCUGGGGCACAUAGAAAAACUCACCCAGCCGUAUUUUGCAAUUAGCCAGCUGCAUCUGAAGAUCAGUCAGUUUGACUUGGAUUGAGGACUCUUGUUUUUGCAGACUGCUCUUUUCAGACAUGAGACGGGACAGUUCGGCGUUGAGAGCUUGAGUUUGAGCAGCAUCACCAGGGCCAGUCACAGCAUCGUCAAUAAAGCUAACAAUGGCUCCAGUAAAUGGCACCAAGGCAGUCAGGAUACCAAAGCCAAUGUUUUUGCUAGAAGCAUCUCGGAUGCGAUUCUGCAGCUCAUUGUUUUUUUCUUCAAUUGUUUUCUGUAUUUCAUUUAUGUUUUCAGCCCUUUUUCUCAGCUCCUCCUCAAGGUUGGCCACGGCCUCCUCCAGACUCUUAAUUUCCUCCGUUGUUUGAGUUAGUUGUUUUUCUGUCUCUGUCUUUUCUUGAAACACAUCACUGGUGCAUGACGCUACACUUUGGUUAUGUUCAUCAUACCUGAAUAUGAUGUAUUUCAGAUAGACAGAGUACAGUGAAUGGACUUGAUACAGUAGAUCACUAUCAUCUCAAGUUUGUUAGAUUAAAACAAUUGAAACAAGGUAUUAUGCAUUAAUUUUACUAUUCAAUGAAAUGUAUCUUUCUGAAGGGAUGUUUCGUUAUUUACAAAUACUGAUUAAGAGAUUUGCUGUGAAAUACUAAACUUCCCCAUGAUAAGAUGUUGAUGAUGUCUUCACCUCUUCACAAUGUCUUCCACAGCUAUAAUGAUGUCAUUAAUCUUUGCUCUGAUUUCCCCCAGGUACUUCACAGCCAGAGAGGGUUCAUUGUGUUCAACAGCCAUCAACAGCGACGGAAGCAGGGAGAAAACCAGGGUGGAACUCGCGAUAACACACUACAAUGAAAUAUAAUUUAUCCACAAGGGCAGUUUAAUACAAUAGUAGCUACAUCACAAGUUUGUUGGCAUUAGUAUCAAUGUGGUAAAAACAUUGACAAUUUGAAUUUUGUGGGAUUUGUUUGAAUUUCAAUCCAAAGAGUGAUGGAACAAAAAAGGAGAAGUUUUCAGACUUAAGCUAUUUUUUCAAACAACAAUAAUUCACAGUGAUCAUAUCUGUCACUACACUUUGAAUCUUCGAAAGCUAUAUGAUUUUUUGCUUUCUUGUAUAAUGUAUUGUUUGUUUAUUUUUGCUUAUUAUUAGUUUUGCUUCUUUGUGAGAGAUGCCUUAUACUGUAUGAAUAAUAACGUAGUUAUUGGUUGGACUGCUGGACCAUCAAUACCCAGAAGUGUGUGCAUGUAUGUUCAAGGACACAGAGAUCUGUGGUUCAACCAAAAUGUUGAAUUUAAAAAGAUUACUCAUGUCCCAGUAUUAUUUUAUGACAUUUAUGUAAGAAGACAACACAAGUUAAUGUUAAAAAAGGCCAGCAAAUAUGGAAUUUUACCCAAUAAAAUAUUAAAUAACGUUAAAAAAAAACACAAGGCAACCAACUGCAUUCAGGGAAACUCUUUCUUGUAUCGCUUUAAUGGGCAGUCUUAACGGAAACUCAUUCAACUUCCUACAGGGAGAGAAAGAUAAAAAUAUGACAACUAGCAUCUGGUUAUGAUCGCUAUUAAAGUGUUUCUCAUGUUAUCUAACUGCAAAUAUAGCAUAACUGCCUGUUAUCUAAAACUAAACAUUAACUAUAACGCGUUUAAUGAAAAUAAAAAUUGUGACAUUUGGAACACUAGUUUUGCAUCAAAAUGCAUUUUCUAGAUAUUACCACCCAACAGUUUUGUUACACCCCUGUCUUACCUCCAGCAGAACCACCACAGAGGAUUUAAACAGUAGCUGUGUUUCGAGAGCUCUUUCUCUGAUCAGACGCUCCAGCUUUGGGAAACCACCCAGACACAGGUAAGAGAGAUGAUAGAGAAGAGCCGUUCGCUCCGCAGCUGGAAGAAGCUCCCGGAUGAACUCUGGAGUCCAUGAGGAAACACUGCUGGAUACAAUCUCUGAGACACCAGACCAAACAUUAGUGAUUGAUAACAACCUCCGGGGUUCAGUCAACGGUGCAUAGGUCAGGCAUACUGUAAAUUAAAUAUAUUAAAUAUAUGUGCCAUAUCAUCUUCUAUUCAAAUAGUCUACAUCUGACUGAUUAUAAUCAUAAAGGUAUGCUAAACAGUGUCUUUUAUCCCUGCAUGGCUGUGUCAUGUUAAAAGAAGUUUUAAACUUUUAAAAAUGGCCCCUGAGAUCCUGCAUUCUUUUCCAGUCCGCUGCAUCUCAGCGUUGGAAUAAUAUGUUUUGUGGAUUGAAUAAAAGGAAUAAAAGCUGCAGUACCAAGUGUAAAAAAAAAACAUCCUGAAAAAGGGAAGUCCACUUUCCUGCAGAGUUAAUAGCUCCAACCGUAAUCAAACAUAUCUGAACAAGUUAAUCAAGGUCUUCAGGGGGGCUGUUUCAUAAAAGAAGUCUACCAAAUAAGCCAGGCUUAUUUCAGUUAGUCUGCCUUAUUGUCAGAAAGCCAAUUUACCAUAGCUCAAGCUCAGUCACUGUGGCAACUUGUGCUGGGAAACUACCCUAGUCCUGUCAGGCUAACACUGACCAAUAGGAAUGCAUUGAUAUUCCAAUAAGUGUGGUUUAGUUAGUUAUUUAAUGCUAUAAAAAAAGGGUGGGAUGUCUUGACUGUAAGGCUUCUUACAGGAGCAGUGAGAGGAGACUGAAGCUUUAUUUUAACUUUUAAUUUCCCGUAACUGUGUUGUUUCACACCAACAAAAUUAACUGUUGGGCAGUAAGCUGGAUCACUGAAGUAUGUUCCGUACAUUAAAUUUGUGCUUUAGAAGCGAAUUAGAAAAAAAUAUGUUAUUGGACAGCUAGAGAAAAAAUAACAAGCUUAAUGCUAGCCGUGUGGGGAAAUUGUAACAAUGCUCAUAAUUACGGGAAGAAGGAGGCAGGAACCGGCAGAGGUUUAACAUCUUGCUCUUUAUCAUUUGCUCCACCAGCAAGCUACUCAUGGAGGAAUAUUGCUUUUGGUAAUUGAGUUGGGCUUCCACUAACGGUGCGCCCAUGAUUACAGGUGAUCAUUUUAUCAGACGACUGUCACUUACAAUAUUUUAGGCCUAUAUGUAUAUACUUAAUUUUAACAUUAACUUAAGAAUACAUGGUGAACAGAAGACAUAAAGACAUCAGUUGUUGUUUCUUACUUAUUUACGUAGCCUACUUAGGCUGUCAAACUGUUGUAUAAAAGCAAUAUCACACAUUCACAUUCGCAGUUGUGUGAUAUGGCUGAUUAUCUGUGGCACUCAUAUAUAGUGUAAAUAUGACACAUAAACCAAAGUUACAUGUAAAUGUACUUCCUGUAGCUGGCGAUGUACAUUGGUGCUUUUGAAAGUAUUUUCCUGUAAUAUGGUAAUAUUUGUAAUGACAUGGUAUAAGAAGCUACAGACUGCCUUAAAUAAAAAUACAGUUGCAAAGAGUUCAAAUGCAUUACUUUUUACUGACUUCUAGUUCUUUUUUUCUUCUUCUUCAUUUUUUUUUAUUUUCGGACAAAAAUAAAUAAAUAAAUAAAUAAAUGAACUGGACGUUUCAGCCAUAGCCUUACUUCCGCAUUGAAGAAUAAGGUGGAUAAGGAGUUUGAAAUGGAAAUUCUCACCUUUGCUAUCAGCCAUGUUUUUGCAGAGUGUACACUGAUGAAGACUCCUAUAGAAAGGUCUUAAGAAGCACGAAUGAAAGACAAAAUGUGAUAUUUAAUUAUAGUUAUAUAUCACAGCACAUGGAGGGGUCUCCCCAAGCCUAUUACAUAACUACAGAAUUCACUGUUAUUAAAAUGACAAGCAUGAUCAGGACAUUUGACAAAAUUUCUAAUUUCUCUUUUCCUGUUCUGAAAGAGAAAGAAUUGGUCAUACAGCGUUAGAACAACAGGGUGUGUAAUUUAUGACUGAAUUUAAUUGAGUGUACACACCACUAGUGAUGAAGGGAAUUUAUGGUAAUUAUCUUGCUCUAAUAUUUUUAUAUAGCGUCUAAUGUUCAUUCAAGCCCUUUCCACUAAACUAAAAUUAAAAACGAAAGAAAAGUAUACAGAUAACACUGUUAUUUUAAGUUUAACAAAAUUAGGACACAGCAGAAAGUCAGCAGAAAUGUAAAGUAUAUGUAUAUACACACUUGACAACAUAACACUAAUAAUAUAUAUUGAUCAGCUUGAGAAAAAAUAAAAAACUUACUGAAAAUAAAAGGUUUAUGUAUGUAAAGUAGGUACAUAGAAAACAAACAGCAAAUUUUGUGACUGAAUACUAGCCUUUCCAUUUUUUGAUAUUAAAACAUCUGUACUGCAUCCUACUGUAAUACAUGUACAGUAUUAUCUCAUGUUUAAAAUAUCAUAUAAUGUCUAAUCCAAUCCUGAAAGAAAAGUAGGAUACUCACAUAUUUUGUAUUGAGUUUGAUUCUCCAACUUGUCUGCACUUCUGCCAAAAAUAUAGCCAACUAUGGAAGGCCAAAAGGGCCAAAAAUCAGUGCAUAUUUCACGUGUGAAAUACACAUUAAAUAGGCUGAAAUAUGUGUUAAAUAUCCCUUUGAACAGAUCAGUGUCAUCAACUGCUGAAAACUUGGGUCAAACCAUUUCUGUGAGUUUAAAGGGGUGUUCCAUUCAUAGUGAAAGUGAAAAGUGAAAGUGAAAGAUUACGAUACCACCAUUUAACAUGCUAUAGAUCAACUUAUUCAGCAUUUAUAUUUUGUCCUCUUUUUUUUGUAUAGCCUAUAGAAAUAAUAUAUUUAAAUUGCCUUUCUUUGAAAUAUUAUAUAUUAUAUUAGAAAUUUAAAAACCUUGUUUUUCUCCCCGUAUGCCUUUUUUAGUAAAUAAACAUAUUAGUGGACAUUCUUAAUCAAAGCUUUAACAUUUGUGUGGGGAAAUCAGUUAUAGUGGAGGUAAACAAUUGUACCAUUGUAAUCAAUAUCUGUCUUUGGAAAACAACAUGAGCUUUUCUUGUGCUUACAUUUACAGCUAUCGCCAGCAGGUGGUGCUUAUUAUGCACUCACCAGACAAACAUGCAGGUGAUAUUAUCAAUUUAAAUGAAUUUAAAGACAUAAACUAUUUAAAUAUGGCAUUUUAGAAUGUAUAUAAUUAUUUAAGACUUUCAGGUCAGGUAGAAGAACUUGAUUUGGUUUUCCUGCAGAAGUAUCCUACCGCUAUCACCAUUAAAGAUCCUCCUAUUUCUUUUUUCUUUUCUUUUUUUUUCUUGUAAUUUUCUUCCUUUUCUUGUAUAGUCCAAAGAAAAUAUCUAGAUUGCAAUUUUAUGAAAAAAUAUUUUUAUCAAGAUAAGAUUGCCCCUUUUUGCACAUUAGUAGGCAUUGUAGCUGCAACACCAUUCACCACACCUCAAGUUUUCUAACAUUAAAAACUAACAUUUGAUUAGGGAAAAGGGUACAGAUGUGGUUCUUGAUCAGUGCAAUUGUAAUGAAUGUCUGUUUUUGAUAAACAACAUAACCUUGUUUUCUUAGAUUUAAUUUAUCGCUACAGCAAGCAUGCCACCAAGAUGCUUCACAGGGACCAAAUUACAGAAACAUCCUGUCUUAAAGGGAUAAUUCCCCCAAAAAUGAAAAUUCUGGCAUCAUUUACUCACCCUUACGUUGUUUUUAACCCUUUAGGCACCAGGGUUUUUUGGGAAAAAAAUGCUGGAUUUUGACAUCAAGAUUUCAAAAGCUUGUGGCUUGAAAGGGCUUAAAGAUAGAGAUCUACUGUAAAUUAGAAAAAUGUU